CCUCGUACUUUGGGAUAACUUCAGGAAACUGGGGCUAAUACCGGAUAGGAGCUCCUGCUGCAUGGUGGGGGUUGGAAAGUUUCGGCGGUUGGGGAUGGACUCGCGGCUUAUCAGCUUGUUGGUGGGGUAGUGGCUUACCAAGGCUUUGACGGGUAGCCGGCCUGAGAGGGUGACCGGCCACAUUGGGACUGAGAUACGGCCCAG
rnacentral:rRNA from 1 species